rnacentral:rRNA from 1 species
AGCAGCCGCGGUAAUUCCAGCUCCAAUAGCGUAUAUUAAAGUUGUUGCAGUUAAAAAAGCUCGUAGUUGAAUUUCGGGAUUGACGUGAUGGUCGUGCCUUACGGGGUAUGAACUGUUGCUGUUGAUUUCUCACCUUCUGGAGAAACUUGAUGUCCUUAAUUGGGUGUCUUGCGGAUCCAGGACCUUUACCUUGAAAAAAUUAGAGUGUUUAAAGCAGGCAUUUUGCUCGAAUACAUUAGCGUGGAAUAAUAGAAUAGGACGGCAUGGUUCUAUUUUGUUGGUUUCUAGGAUCACCGUAAUGAUUAAUAGGGAUAGUUGGGGGCAUUAGUAUUCAAUUGUCAGAGGUGAAAUUCUUGGAUUUAUUGAAGACUAACUACUGCGAAAGCAUUUGCCAAGGAUGUUUUCAUUAAUCAAGAACGAAAGUUAGGGGAUCGAAGACGAUCAGAUACCGUCGUAGUCUUAACCAUAAACUAUGCCGACUAGGAAUCAGACGAUAGUUAAUUUUUAAUGUACUUCGUUU